GUAUACAAUCUACCUUAUACAGGAGGAUAGCCCUAAGAAAUUGGGAUUAAUACUCCAUAGUAAUUAGAAUUCGCAUGAAUUCAAGUUUAAAACUUCGGUGGUAUAAGAUGAGUAUGCGUGAUAUUAGCUAGUUGGUAAGGUAACGGCUUACCAAGGCGACGAUAUCUAGGGGGCCUGAGAGGGUUAUCCCCCACACUGGUACUGAGACACGGACCAGACUCCUACGGGAGGCAGCAGUGAGGAAUAUUGGUCAAUGGAGGCAACUCUGAACCAGCCAUGCCGCGUGAAGGAAGAAUGUCCUAUGGAUUGUAAACUUCUUUUAUUUGGGAAGAAACCUACCCACGUGUGGGUAGCUGACGGUACCAAAAGAAUAAGGACCGGCUAACUCCGUGCCAGCAGCCGCGGUAAUACGGAGGGUCCAAGCGUUAUCCGGAAUCAUUGGGUUUAAAGGGUUCGCAGGCGGUUUAUUAAGUCAGUGGUGAAAUCUCGGGGCUCAACUCCGAAACUGCCAUUGAUACUGAUAGACUUGAAUAUAGUUGGAGUAGGCGGAAUGUGUAGUGUAGCGGUGAAAUGCUUAGAUAUUACACAGAACACCGAUAGCGAAGCAGCUUACUAAACUAUGAUUGACGCUCAUGAACGAAAGCGUGGGGAGCGAACAGGAUUAGAUACCCUGGUAGUCCACGCCGUAAACUAUGAUUACUCGAUAUUGGCGAUACACAGUCAGUGUCUAAGCGAAAGUGAUAAGUAAUCCACCUGGGGAGUACGGUCGCA
rnacentral:rRNA from 1 species